rnacentral:rRNA from 1 species
AUUGAACGCUGGCGGCAGGCCUAACACAUGCAAGUCGAGCGAGCGGCGGAAAGGUGAGUAAUGUCUGGGAAACUGCCUGAUGGAGGGGGAUAACUACUGGAAACGGUAGCUAAUAACGCAUACCAUCAGAUGUGCCCCGAUGGGAUUAGCUUGUAUGUGGGGUAACGGCUCACUUAGGCGACGAUCCCUAGCUGGUCUGGGAGGAUGACCAGCCACCCUGGAACUGCGACGCGGGCCACACUCCUACGGGAGGCAGCAGUGGGGAAUAUGGCACAAUGGGCGCAAGCCUGAUGCAGCCAUGCCGCGUGUGUGAAGAAGGCCUUCGGGUUGUAAAGCACUUUCAGCGGGGAUGCGUUACCCGCAGAAGAAGCACCGGCUAACUCCGUGCCAGCAGCCGCGGUAAUUC